AUGAAUCUUGUAACUUGGCUUAUAACGCUAUUACAAGGCCUUUCCGAGUCCAGGUCCGUCAGCUUUUUAACCAGGCUCUAGGAGAAGAUUAUUAUUCAAACCACUUGCUUCAUUCCACGUAGACAAUGUCUACCGCCUAUUUCAUCAUUCCCAAUGAUAUAUGUUGCUUGUUGCCAUCUCUCGAACAUCGCGUCUCGGAUUUUGAGGGUGAUUGCGAUGUCUAUCGGGAUCGAAUUCGUCUGACUGGUUAUAGUCCGUCGAUCGACAUUGCUACUGCCUCAUGUUGACAAAUUAAAUUUUCGAAUAAAGUAGCUUAUAUUGUUUGACCAGAAAAAUUUUUACAUUUGUAAAACAGUGCAUAUUUUUCUGUGGCGAGAUAUUAGAUUUCUAUAGUUGAAAA